GGGGAUGUCGCUCAGUGCUAGUAGAGCACUUGCCUAGCAGGCACAAGACCCUGGGUUCAAUUCCCCAGCACCACUA
rnacentral:tRNA from 1 species